rnacentral:lncRNA from 1 species
CAGGUGACGGUGACUCUCACCGCCGGCGGAGGAAGACAGGGAAGAAGAAGACGUUCCCGAUCCACUGAUUUUUGGUCUCCAUCAGCGGCGGCGCGUGAGCCCACGCGUCGCCAGUGACGGUGGUGCGUUGCAACACGCGCCGCCAGCGUUCCUGCACACCAUUCCGGCUGGCAGAGGGUUCCUACGCAAUUUCUGGAGUUUUGGGGGAGUGACUUGUAAAUUUCGGAUUAUUU